rnacentral:rRNA from 1 species
UACGUAGGGGGCUAGCGUUGUCCGGAAUCAUUGGGCGUAAAGAGCGUGUAGGCGGUCCGGUAAGUCCGUUGUGAAAGUCAGGGGCUCAACCCUUGAAUGCCGGCGGAUACUGUCGGGCUAGAGUCCGGAAGAGGCGAGUGGAAUUCCCGGUGUAGCGGUGAAAUGCGCAGAUAUCGGGAGGAACACCUAUGGCGAAGGCAGCUCGCUGGGACGGUACUGGCGCUGAGACGCGAAAGCGUGGGGAGCAAACAGG